rnacentral:rRNA from 1 species
CCUACGGGUGGCAGCAGUGGGGAAUAUUGCACAAUGGGGGAAACCCUGAUGCAGCGACGCCGCGUGAGUGAAGAAGUAAUUCGUUAUGUAAAGCUCUAUCUGCAGGGAAGAAAAUGACGGUACCUGAGUAAGAAGCUCUGGCUAACUACGUGCCAGCAGCCGCGGUAAUACGUAGGGGGCAAGCGUUAUCCGGAUUUACUGGGUGUAAAGGGAGCGUAGGCGGAAGGGCAAGUCUGGAGUGAAAGUCGGGGGCUCAACCGCCGGAGUGAUGUGGAAACUGUACGGCUGGAGUGCAGGAGAGGUAAGUGGAAUUCGUGGUGUAGCGGUGAAAUGCGUAGAUAUUAGGAAGAACACCGGUGGCGAAGGCAGCUUACUGGACUGUAACUGACGUUGAGGCUCGAAAGCGUGGGGAGCAAACAGGAUUAGAUACCCCAGUAGUC